CUUGGUUAGUACUUGGAUGGGAGACCGCCUGGGAAUACCGG
rnacentral:rRNA from 1 species